rnacentral:lncRNA from 13 species
GACAGAAGUGGUUUAAAAUCCAGUCUCUCCAACAGAUGCUGGAAGGUAAUGUGUCUUGUUUGAAGUCAUCAUGUGAGAACUUCUGCUUUGCUCAGUGGAUCGCCCACCACUUGGUGUGACUUAUGAAUCUAAUAACCCUUUGCAAUAUCCGCAAGCUUAAACUCUCCACCACCUUGGUGCCUACAGAAGACAGAAAGCAACUGGCAGGGAGUUUUAAAAACCUAUAGAUUUACGCAAACGCCUUAGCUCAGAGUCACGUUUCCCUCUGAGUUCUUACGUGAUCUUAAUGAAUGAGAGGGGUUACCAACCAACUCAGUAUAAAACGUGAUCGCAGCCUCCUCCCAGGAAACCGGAGCGGGACAGUAAGUUCCCGAGGAAAGUCCUGGCCGGACGGGCGCACUAUGCAGUGAGCCCUGAUUCCCACCGCCCUCCUUCCACCUCCGGGCUCGCACCUGGGGCCGUGCAAGACGAGCCGGCUCUGGAGAUUUACGUUCGGGACAGUGAAACCAGAUUUCCCAGAAGUUCCCCACUCUGGGCUACAGUGGGAUCUUGAAGCCAUGACCUCCUGGAGCAGGACAGAAGAGUGGCACAGCAGGGGCUGAGCCGGGGUACCCUGCACAUGGGCACCCACCACAGCUGGGACACAGGCAAGGGCAAAGGUGUAGAAGGAUGGAGCUUGCAGCCUUUGACAAGGAAGACAAACAGAACAGAAUCUACAACAGGAGCAGGAAACACUUAUGCAAACUCUCAAGAAACAUCUUUCUGUCAAAACUGAAACAGAUUGUGGUGUUCUGCAGCACAUUUCUCUGCUAGGGAAACAUUCUUGCACUUGUAGUCAAGCAACAUUCCCAGUCUCAUCAGCCCUUAAGAUCCUGGUCUGAUUUUAUAUGAAAAAAAAAGGGGCAGAUCUUUGGCUUGAUGGUUUUCUGAGAUCUCUGCAACAGUUUGGAGAGCAACAUAUUCCUCUACCUCGUGGUUUUGGUAAGUAUAGGAAAGGGAACAAAUCUUCAGAUGGCUUGCUGCUGGAGAAAUGAAAUAUCAUGAAAUAUACUAAAAAAUCAUAAAAAUCCUAAUCCUGAUUAGAAGACUUGCUUCUUUGAAGGUAGAGUGUAAUGAUUUUUAUAUGCUGAUAGUAAAAUACACAGCAAAGGUAUACUAUACUAACUUUAAUGGAAAGAACAACUAAAAAUUUUGAAUUUUAAAGGGAAAACUUGAUAAAACUCUGAGUAAGAGAUGAAAACAUGCAUAUCAAGUGAUACUCAUACAACAUGGUAUGAACAAAAUAAAAUAGUUCUUUGAAAUAAAAGCCACUAAUCAAGUUACUUUUUAAUUUAUGUGUCUAGAACAGAAAAAGGAGACGAUACUGUAUUUUUCAUACAUCUGGACUUGAAUUCUGCAAUAUAUGUACUAGUGAAUCUGGAUGCUGUCAUAUGAGCCAAGAUACUAAGCAACCAUAAUUUCUAACUCAUUCAGCAAAAUAAGUAAGCUUUUCAUAUUGAAAUAAUUAUCAUAUUUUAGAAGGAUAAAAUCUAACAGAAUUUUAAGCAUAACUUAAAAAGUGGAUGUUCCCUCUGUACAUGGAAGGAUUUGAACUCAAAUCCCAAUACUGGUGAAUUACUCCAGACUUUUGGUGAUCUUAACUGAGAGUGUAACAGAGUCUAUGGUACCUUAAAUCACCUGUGUACAUUUCAUAAUUUGGCCCCAUUAAACUUUCUCUGUUACAAAACAUAGUGAACUGUCUAUUUUUGGUCUAGGGAAGCUAAUAAAUAAAACCACAGAUUUAAAAAACCCUCAAACAACAAAACCCCCACAUAUUCUUCCAGAUGCAGUAAUCACAUAUUUGGGUUUUUGUUUGGGUUACUGGCCUGUUUGUCUCUCUAACCUUGUUUAAUUAUGGAAUAAAAGAAGUACGUAGCUACAAUGUAUUAAAAGACAGAAAAAACCCGUUCUUAUAUUUUGAUAAUACAUCUUUCUUAGCUAUCUUGUGUGGCUUGUGUUUUGCAUAAUGGGACAGAUUUAUUUAGAUAUAUGUUUAUUUACUCAUGUAUGUAUAUGCCCUUUUUGAAAAUUAUGUUCUAUGAGAAAUACCAGCAAUUUUCUCACUGGGAAUU